rnacentral:lncRNA from 1 species
AGAGGAGAGGAGAGGAGAGGAGAGGAGAGGAGAGGAGAGUCUUGCUAUGGGGGACUGUUUCACUGGAGAACCGUAAGAACUCUACAAGUAGGCAAAAUACAAACGCGCAGGAGAAAGACAUCUGAGAACACUUAGCUGGCCUCACUGAUAGAAAUGAUUGUGGGGAGAGGGGUUAAAUAGAUCCCAGAGAACAAGGAAAGAUGUGGAACGUUACUUGGGUAAUUGGAGUGCUGGGUAGCAAAUACUGGAGGCAAAUCCACGUCUCCUAAGAGACCUGGCGACGUCUGGGGAAUGCAGUCCCUGCUUUAGCAUUGCUCUUUUUAAAAAGUAAGGCAGCUGGAAAGCAUCAGGCAGCGAAGAAGGGACAGAUUUGGUGACACAGCUUCUGAGGGGGUACGGGAGAAGGAGGAGCACACGGAAGGGAGAUGGACUCCCUGCAUGUAACUCACCCCGCUGAGAAGGAGAGCCGCAGCCUUCUCCACGCAGACAAAAGAUGGCGAAGAGCCCGUGGUACCAAGCUGAACAGCAGCAGGCACCGAGGGACAAGGUCUCUGUGGCCACUUCUCCAGCCCAGCCACAGCUCUUCCCUCUCUGCAGGUCCAGCACGACCAACAAGAGCAAUGCAAAGUUUCAAUGGAGGAUCCAGCACUAACCUAACACCAAAACAAUCCAGGUGUGUGUCUUCAGCAGCAUGAGACUGAGAUGCCCUCCCCCUCCAACAGCAUGGCCACUAAAAUACACAGGUAUGUUGCUUCAGGCUUUUGGCAAUAAGCCCCAAGAAGAGACCAAGUUGCACACAGUGUACAUUCUCCUCCUUCCUCAGGAUGCCCUGCAGGACAGCAGGUCAGCCUGCCCUUCCUCAGGAGGGUGAUGUAAGAACCAUGGCAGAGCUCUGCACAGCAGAGUCUUCCUCAUCACUUCCUCUUUCUUUCCUGUUUUUUUUGUUUUCUUUAGUUUUUUACCACUGGAGCAAAACAUGUUUGCACGCCGCAGCCAUGUGAAAUCAACCCGCACAUCUCUGCAGGUUUAAUUUCGGUAAAGCAGGACAUUUUGCUAACACCGUAAUGAAAGGGAUUUGAAAACAGAUCCUGGUAAUAACUCCAAUUUUCUGACACCAGAUCAGGCUCUCCAUUUAAAGCAUUCCCACGUGACAUUUGUUAGGGAACAUGGAGUGCUAUUUUCUCAACGCCAGUAGAUAGUAAGCGUUUCCUUUUUAAUAUAGUUCCACCUAUAUUUUCUCCAGAAGGACGGCAUGCUGCAGAUAGUCUUUAUGAACCUGGUCCUAAAUGAACCGAGGGAAACAAAUCCUCAGAAAUUUCAUGGGGCCGCAGGUGAAGUGUUACAUCCCACUCCGUUUCAGAGAGCCAUUCAGCUCUCUUCAAAUAAUUUACCCAAACCUGAACUGAGCAACUCAGCAUGGUGAUUGUAUGUUGAAGUGUCUUCUCGUUUCUCCAAAUUCCUGCCCAUUUGAUUAGUUUAGACCAAACAAAAGGGAGCUAUGGAACAGUUUCCUAGAUCAACAUAGUUCUAAGAGUCAAAUUUAUGAUGCUGAGAUCUGAAAGUUCACAUUCCCAGGAGCUUCUGACCAAGGUUCUUGUCAGCUCAUCCUGAGAAUCAAGUGUCAGGUGGUUCAUACACCUGAGUAUCCUCAAGCACAUGCAGAUAAUUUAAGCACAGAAGUGUGUCCUCAAAACACUGCCAGGUCCUCUGGCAGUCUCCAGGCCACCCCUGCCCAAAGCUGGGCCGUGUUUCUCCAGAUCUUGCUCUAUCAUUUUGAAAAUCUUCAAGGAUGGGAAUUGCACAGCCUCCUGUACAGCAACCUGGGAGGCAUUUUUUCCUCACAUCUAUGUGGGAUUUCCCUCGCUGCAUCUUUCAUUUUAGUGCUCACUUUUGGGAAGAGCUUGGCUACAUCCUCUCCAUCCCUCAGCUUAAAACAAGGCUCAAAUCCCCUCAACUUUCCUUUCUCAUGGCUGAACAAUUUGAUGUCACCCACAGGCUAAAGGAGGCUGCACCUCACUACCUAAGUCACUGAUGGGGAAGGAUGUAUUGAUGCGCCACUACGUUCCUACCAGCAUUCCUAUCACCUUUGAGAAAUGCGACUCAUAACUUAGCUUAAUCACUGAUCAUUAGCCUCCGAGUCCAACAACACCUCAAAAAUCCCACGGGGAUGUACUUAGUGAGCCAUAAUCAUUUGUGGCAUUACACAGUCUUUGCAACAGACUUCUGUGUUGUUUCCUUGGACUUUGGUACAUAUAUUCUGACAAAGUAACGUUUUAGUAGGCUAAGUAAGUUCUCUAGUCCUCAUGGAUCAGGCCUUAAACCUGCUGACACAAACUCGUUUACCUCCGCAUAAAUAAUUUUAACAAAGCAACGAGAGUUUUAGGCCAAGGAGUUCAUAAAUCUGCAUGAGUCAACACACUUCGCAAGAACAUUCUUGAUGACAAACUCAAGCCAAUUGAGCAGUUAUAGAAAACAAUUUCUGCAAGAAGUUCUGCAAGGGAAAAUAUCUUACAGGAACAUAAUUUAAUUGAUUUCUGUAAGUGCUGUAAAUAGUCUGUAAAAUAACAUAAUAAAUACAAUCC